CCCGGAGCCUGACCCCCGCCCAUUCCCCGACCCCGACCCGGAACCGUGAGCCCGACCCGCACCAGGACUGCGACCCCCCGCAGCCAUGCACUCGGCCCUCCUGACGGUCCUGGAGAAGGUCUGCAUCCUGUUUCUUCCAGAAGUUGCUGUAAAUUCUGAGGAGCUUUGAUGGCCAGCUUUGGCUAACGGAGGCAUUUUGCUCUUGCAGUGCGUUAAACCGUCUACGGAUAACAUAUAGGAUGAGGUGUCCACGUUUGUUUUGAAGUCUCAGGAUUCUUAAGACAGUGGUUUCCAGAGAUCUUUCCCACCCAGAAUCCCUUGCUUAAAUUUUUGUUUGAAGUACCAUCCUAAGGCUCAGACCGUGCACUUUGUACGGGACAGGAA